GCCCGGGUGGCGGAAUGGUAGACGCUGAGGACUUAAAAUCCUUUGCCUGAAAAGGCGUGCGGGUUCGAUCCCCGCCCCGGGCACCA
rnacentral:tRNA from 1 species